rnacentral:rRNA from 1 species
CUACGGGAGGCAGCAGUGAGGAAUAUUGCGCAAUGGGCGAAAGCCUGACGCAGCGACGCCGCGUGAAGGAUGAAGGUCUUCGGAUCGUAAACUUCUGUUAAGUGGAAAGAAAGACUUGCUUUUAAUAGAAGCAAGGGAUGACGGUACCAUUAGAGAAAGCACCGGCUAACUUCGUGCCAGCAGCCGCGGUAAUACGAAGGGUGCAAGCGUUAUUCGGAAUCAUUGGGCGUAAAGGGUGCGUAGGCGGCCUUUCAAGUCUGUUGUUAAAUACCUCGGCCUAACCGAGGAUCGGCAGUGGAAACUGAUUGGCUAGAGUAUGGAAGAGAGAAGUAGAAUUCUCGGAGUAGCGGUAAAAUGCGUAGAUAUCGAGAGGAAUACCAAUGGCGAAGGCAGCUUCUUGGUCCAUUACUGACGCUGAUGCACGAAAGCGUGGGGAGCAAACAGGAUUAGAUACCCGAGUAGUC